UGAGUACGAGCUGCUACGGCAGCGAAGUGGGUGACGUCAAGCUUCCAAGAAAAGCCCUAUACCCGUUAAGGCAUGAUGGCCUGUACCCGAAACCGACACAGGUGGGGUGGUAGAGAAUACCGAGGGGCGCGAGGUAACUCUCUCUAAGGAACUCGGCAAAAUGGCCCCGUAACUUCGGGAGAAGGGGUGCCACCGCAAGGUGGUCGCAGUGAAGAGGCCCAGGCGACUGUUUACCAAAAACACAGGUCUCCGCUAAGUCGCAAGACGAUGUAUGGGGGCUGACGCCUGCCCAGUGCCGGAAGGUUAAGGAAGCUGGUCAGCGUAAGCGAAGCUAGCGACUGAAGCCCCGGUGAACGGCGGCCGUAACAAUAACGGUCCUAAGGUAGCGAAAUUCCUUGUCGGGUAAGUUCCGACCCGCACGAAAGGCGUAACGAUCUGGGCGCUGUCUCGGAGAGAGGCUCGGCGAAAUAGAAUUGUCUGUGAAGAUGCGGACUACGUGCACCCGGACAGAAAGACCCUAUGAAGCUUUACUGUAGCUUGGUAUUGUGCUCGGGCUCGGAAUGCGCAGGAUAGGUGGGAGGCUAUGAACCAUUGCUUGUGGGUGAUGGUGAGCCACUGGUGAGAUACCACUCUUUCCGAGCUAGAGUUCUAACAGCCACCCGUUAUCCGGGGGCUGGACAGUAUCAGGUGGGCAGUUUGACUGGGGCGGUCGCCUCCUAAAAGGUAACGGAGGCGCGCAAAGGUUUGCUCAGGCUGGUUGGAAAUCAGCCGACGAGUGUAAAAGCAGAAGCAAGCUUGACUGUGAGACCUACAAGUCGAACAGGGAGGAAACUCGGCUUUAGUGAUCCGACGGUUCUGCGUGGAAGGGCCGUCGCUCAACGGAUAAAAGUUACUCUAGGAUAACAGGCUGAUCUCCCCCAAGAGUUCACAUCGACGGGGAGGUUUGGCACCUCGAUGUCGGCUCAUCGCAACCUGGGGCUGAAGUCGGUCCCAAGGGUUGGGCUGUUCGCCCAUUAAAGCGGUACGCGAGCUGGGUUCAGAACGUCGUGAGACAGUUCGGUCCAUAUCCGGUGCAUGCGCAGGAAUAUUGAGAGGAUUUCUCCCUAGUACGAGAGGACCGGGAGGUACGCACCUCUGGUGUACCAGUUAUCGUGCCAACGGUAAACGCUGGGUAGCCAUGUGCGGAGAGGAUAACCGCUGAAAGCAUCUAAGUGGGAAGCCCACCUCAAGAUGAGUAUUCCCAUGGGGUAACCCAGUAAGGUCACGGGAAGAACACCCGUUGAUAGGCUCUACGUGGAAGCGCAGUAAUGUGUGAAGCGGAGGAGUACUAAUAGACCGAGGGCUUGAUC
rnacentral:rRNA from 1 species